ACGGGGUGCAGCAGGCGCGAAAACUUUGCAAUGUGCGAAAGCACGGCAAGGUUAAUCCGAGUGGUUUCUGCUAAAGAAACCUUUUGUCAGUCCUAGAAACACUAACGAAUAAGGGGUGGGCAAGUUCUGGUGUCAGCCGCCGCGGUAAAACCAGCACCUCAAGUGGUCAGGAUGAUUAUUGGGCCUAAAGCAUCCGUAGCUCGUUUUGUAAGUUUUCGGUUAAAUCCAUGCGCUUAACGUAUGGGCUGCCGGGAAUACUGCAUAACUAGGAAGUGGGAGAGGUAGACGGUACUCGGUAGGAAGGGGUAAAAUCCUUUGAUCUAUUGAUGACCACCUGUGGCGAAGGCGGUCUACCAGAACACGUUCGACGGUGAGGGAUGAAAGCUGGGGGAGCAAACCGGAUUAGAUACCCGGGUAGUCCCAGCUGUAAACUAUGCAAACUCAGUGAUGCAUUGGCUUGUGGCCAGUGCAGUGCUGCAGGGAAGCCGUUAAGUUUGCCGCCUGGGAAGUACGUACGCAAGUAUGAAACUUAAAGGAAUUGGCGGGGGAGCAC
rnacentral:rRNA from 1 species